rnacentral:rRNA from 1 species
GACGUAGGGCGCGAGCGUUGUCCGGAUUUAUUGGGCGUAAAGAGCUCGUAGGCGGCUUGUCACGUCGACCGUGAAAACUUGGGGCUCAACCCCAAGCCUGCGGUCGAUACGGGCAGGCUCGAGUUCGGUAGGGGAGACUGGAAUUCCUGGUGUAGCGGUGAAAUGCGCAGAUAUCAGGAGGAACACCGGUGGCGAAGGCGGGUCUCUGGGCCGAUACUGACGCUGAGGAGCGAAAGCGUGGGGAGCGAACAGG